rnacentral:rRNA from 1 species
GUGCCAGCAGCCGCGGUAAUACGGAGGAUCCGAGCGUUAUCCGGAUUUAUUGGGUUUAAAGGGAGCGUAGGCGGAUGUUUAAGUCAGUUGUGAAAGUUUAAGGCUCAACCUUGAAAUUGCAGUUGAUACUGGACGUCUUGAGUGCAUUAAAUGUGGGCGGAAUUCGUGGUGUAGCGGUCAAUUGCUUAGAUAUCACGAAGAACUCCAAUUGAGAAGGAAGAUCACAGG